rnacentral:tRNA from 1 species
GAGGAUAUAGCUCAAUGGAUGAGCACUUGCCUAGUAUGACUUAGGCCCUGGGUUCACUCCCCAGUACUCUCC